rnacentral:lncRNA from 1 species
GUUUUCCACAGAGAGGACGCCGUGGCGCCCGGGUGCAAGGCCAGCGGGCGCGGCAGCCGCGUCACCCACCUCCUGGGGUACCCGACGCAGAACGUCAGCCGCUCCCUGCGCCGCAAGUACGCGCCUCCCCCCUGCGGCGGCCCCGAGGACGUGGCCCUGGCGCCCUGCACCGCCGCCGCCGCCUGCGAAGCGGGCCCCUCCCCGGUCUACGUCAAGGUCAAGAGCGCGGAGCCGGCUGACUGCGCCGAGGGGCCGGUGCAGUGCAAGAACGGCCUCUUGGUGAGAACAGAUGCAAAAACUAUUGCUCAAGGAAAAUAAAGUGAAAACGAGGAAAAGCAAAAGAAGAUCUGGAGAGGGCUCUCACCUGACCACAAGCAUCCUGGAGCAAUGAGUUUCAGGCAGGAAGACUCAUCCUGAGCUGAGCUGCUUUUCUUGAAGUUGUGCAAGAACGUCCUGUUGGCUGGGGCAAAUUCAGUAUUUCUUUUCCUGGCCACUGUGCUGGAGCGUGAGGAAAGACUCUCCACCCUCACUCCCAGAUCCUGCAGGAGGCGUGAGAGCGGAUGGAGAUGGUGAGGAUGUCUAUUAAUAUGGUGUUUCCUGCAAAACGGUGCCCAUCUCAACCAUGGGUUGUCAACCAUCCUCGGUGUCUACAACUGCAAUUUACCUUUGAGGGCCCAUGAACUCUGAUUACCUGAAAGUCCUUAGGCCAGAAAGAGAAACCCCUGUCCCCCACCUCUCACUUUCACCUAUUUCUAGACCUUUUCUUACAGCAAUGCCUUGGCCCUCAGGAAGCAUCAGAUCUCAAACUGCAGGGUCUGGGGCUGAAGCUGAUGCUGGCAUGGGUGACUCAGAGUUCCUCUAUUAGUUCAAAUAUGUAAUAUCUUUUAGAGCCUAGGACUCAGGCUGGAGGCAAUUCCUUGGUGCCAGUUGGUUAAUACUUUAUGAAUAGUGGUGGGGGAGGGAAUGCCUUGGACUAUUAAUGUCCCCAUGGAUCUGGAUCCUGGAGAACUUCCAGUGUCCUGGAUGGAAUGUUCUGCUUGGCUCAUCUUGCCCAGAGAAGAGCCAGGAUAUGAGAAGAUGGGAGAGGGAAGGGGGAGGUGUGAAACGUGCUGGUGCUUCCUGUCCUCGUGGUGUGAUGGCUGCCCAGGCUGCUCCUUCGAGGCAGGACAGGAUUCCCAUGGGAGAUAUGAGGACCAUGGUGAUUUCCAGGCACCAGUUAUGUCCCAGAGCAUCGUGUGCCUGUGCAGUGGGGUUACUGAUAGUCCAGGCAUCAGUUCAUAUUGUCCUUUAUGGCAGAUCCUGCACAAGGGGGUUCUCUGUCUCUGGACCCACUCUGUCAGCAUGGACAUCCUUUUUCUUUUUCCCUGGUAAGGACAUCAGAAAGAAAGUUACCCCUCCAGUGUUUGGAGUCUUGGAAUCCUUGGCCUGCCUGCAGGCCUCUGAAUCCUCAGUGUGUUAGCCCAAGGUCACCUUAGGUAAAGGAACAUUUCUCCUGGUCUUCCAACACCCUGGAAAGGGAGGCUCUUCAAGAAUAGGAAAUUCUUCCUAGUAUCUAACCUUGGCCUGCAACUAUGCCAUACAUUUAAUUGUAGAAGGUAUGGAAAGUUAGGACUGUGGUGGACCCAGUUAAAUCACUGGACAGAAGCCAUGAGGCAGAGCCAGAACCAGCUUCUGGACUCCCUGCAUGGAGCUUUCUACUAUCCCAGGUUGUUGGGUCCCUUCUCAGUGGCCAAAGAUGCUAUUUUAUGAGCCUUGAGGACAUGACACUAAGUGAAAAAAGCCUGGCCAAAGGGCCACAUAGUGUAUAGUUCUAUUUAUAUGAAAUGUCCAGGAAAGACAAAAGCAUAGAGGCAGAAAGCAGACUAGUGCUGUGGGAGGAAUGGGGGAUUUGGGAGGUGAUGGCUAAGGGGUUAUGGGGUUUUGGGGGAGGUAAUAGAAAUGUUUUAAAAUUGGUUGUGAAGGUGGAUGCCCAACUCUGCGAAUACACUAAAAGGCAUCGAAUUGUAUACUUUAAAUAGGUGAAUUGUAUGCUAUGUGAAUUAUAUCUCAAUAAAGGUAUUUUUUCCCUGCAAAAAAAAAA